CUGAGAAAGUAGAAAAAGAAUUCCACAAUGUUAACAAUAGAAUCCCAAACUACCAUCUCAAAUAUGGCUGAGAUUGUUAUUUAAUUGCCUAAGGAAAUGAUUAAUUAAUAAUGGGUAGAGGGGUGAAGAAGAGAAUGACUUCUGAAAGUAGUUUUAGUUUGGCUUUUAUUACUACUACUAAUGUUGUUGUUGUUGUUGUUGUUUUAUUACAUUUAAAAGAAUUCAAAGUAUUAUAUUCUUUGUUUAUAUUUCCCAAACAGAAAAGUUAUUUUAAAAAAUUAAUCUCAAGGAGAUGAAUAAUUGAAGACUACCCUGCCAAAUUUGAUGUCUAAAAAGUCAACCAACCAAAGUGCCUGUAUAGGUACUCAAAGGUAUAUGAAGUGCCUAGCCUUCUUGCUUAGCACGAACCCCAACUUUGCAGCUGAACAAAAAAAGGCACCUCUUCCAUGGAAACCCAACAAGCUUUAAGAGGACAGAACUGCCCUUGAAAAUGCUGAAAUGGGGGAAAACAGCUUGAGAAUGUUGUGAGGCAAGACAGACUGACGUGAAAGAUAUUUUCAUUUCCACUCCCUUGGUGCCAACUCAGGGCAAAGUUGGGAAAACAGUGCAUGUGCUGUAAAGUAAUACUGAAUGGAACAGGUGAGUGAGAAUGGAGUAAGAAUGGAAAAGUGAGUCAGACAUAAAGUCACAACACCGUGAAUUUAUCCUCAAGGUAAUUGUCAGUGCCAAUAGUGCACAAAUUUCUUUUACUGUUUAAUAGUAAAUUAAUUUAUGCUGUAAAUAUUUGCAUUCUCCACAGAGCACAGCAUAAUGUUCUCAGUACAGGAGUAGAUGGGGCAUGGAAUUUAGUUCUUAAUUUCAUUCUGUUUCUGAAGUCACCAGUUUCUGUUGCAUGCUGAAGGAGAGAAAAUUAUUCUAUGUGAACAAAUAACAGUUUAGGGUGCAUGGUGGGGAAAAGGGUGUUCCGCUACCAUGGCUUUAUUGAAAAGUAUGAUAAAAGAAGUUACUGAGGGAGCGUAUACUUUGUUUCUAUAGCAAUGUUUCUGUAUUACACUUUUCUAACAAGAAUGACAAUUUUUUUUGCAAGAUAGGUGGGGGUUUUAAGUUGAAAAGAACCUAUAUCAUAGGUCUUUGAGUGUGGAUGUUAUUAAUAAAUGGCCCUGAAACCACCUCAA